rnacentral:pre_miRNA from 1 species
AUUCUAGGAGGCAGGUGCUCAUGUGUCCUCUUCCAGGCUUGGAAAAUACAGGGAGGAGGACAUGGUGGCAACUGUCACCAUGAUU